rnacentral:rRNA from 1 species
UACGUAGGUGCGAGCGUUGUCCGGAAUUACUGGGCGUAAAGAGCGUCGUAGGUGGUUUGUCACGUCGUCUGUGUAAUUCCGGGGCUUAACCUCGGGCGUGCAGGCGAUACGGGCAAUACUUGAGUGCUGUAGGGGAGACUGGAAUUCCUGGUGUAGCGGUGAAAUGCGCAGAUAUCAGGAGGAACACCAAUGGCGAAGGCAGGUCUCUGGGCAGUUACUGACGCUGAGGAGCGAAAGCAUGGGUAGCGAACAGGAUUAGAUA